rnacentral:tRNA from 1 species
GGCCCGGUGGUCAAGCGGUUAAGACACCGCCCUUUCACGGCGGCUUCAUGAGUUCGAAUCUCAUCCGGGUCACCA